CUUAAAAUGAAGUCCGUUCCCAGGCGGACGGGGAAUUAAAAUGCGUUCGCGGGAUUUGGGACUGGUCACGUGACCUACAGACCCAUAGAAAAUUGAUUAGGGGCCAACCAUUUAACUUUUGAGGGGGGGGGAUUUAUUGCUGGCAGGGAAUUUUUUUCUGGGAUCGUUGUGUGCAAGAUAUUUUUUUCCUGUCCCAUCAUCAUCUACGAUUUUUUCCCCACUCUGUAGCUCUUUUGCAACCUUUUUUUUCAAUAGCUAAUAAUAUUUAGAUUCUUUAAUGAUAGUCAACGCUGAGGUUUUUAGCUUCAUACAUUGUUUUUAAUGAUACAUAUUGCUACGAGGUAUUGGUAUAACAUUUGGUUCAGGGCCUCAUUUAAGGAUGUGUAACUGGAGACGACCGCAUAUUUAGCGGGGACCUGGAAAAGUUCCAGUCGGCAAGUCUGUAUCGGCCUGUAUCACUACAGCUACCAGCAUAUAUAUGCAUGGUUUAACCAAUAAGUAUACGUCAUAGAGCAGCAAAUCAGGCUAUAACUAGUAUUCUGAGACAAUCGAAGGUGCGAGCCUCUGGGGGCAUGGGGUCUGGCGGACAUGCCCGCCAGAAAAUUUUGGAUUUCUUGAAGCUCGGAUAAGCAAUUUCCAGCAUUUUGAGGAGUUUCCAAUAAGAAAUUAACCUUGCACUAGUCCCUGA